GACGUAGGGCGCAAGCGUUGUCCGGAUUUAUUGGGCGUAAAGAGCUCGUAGGCGGCCUGUCGCGUCGACCGUGAAAACCCGCAGCUCAACUGCGGGCUUGCGGUCGAUACGGGCAGGCUGGAGUUCGGUAGGGGAGACUGGAAUUCCUGGUGUAGCGGUGAAAUGCGCAGAUAUCGGGAGGAACACCUAUGGCGAAGGCAGCUCGCUGGGACGUUACUGACGCUGAGACGCGAAAGCGUGGGGAGCAAACAGG
rnacentral:rRNA from 1 species